rnacentral:rRNA from 1 species
UACCUAGUAGUCUACGCCGUAAACGAUGAGUGCGUAAGUGUUAGGGGGUUUCCGGUCCCCGUUACGUCGCUGCAGCUAACGCAUUAAGCACUCCGCCUGGGGAGUACGGUCGCAAGACUGAAACUCAAAGGAAUUGACGGGGGCCCGCGACAAGCGGUGGAGCAUGUGGUUUAAUUCGAAGCAACGCGAAGAACCUUACCAGGUCUUGACAUCCCAUUGACCGCUAUGGAGGCAUAGUUUUCCCUUCGGGGACAGUGGUGACAGGUGGUGCAUGGUUGUCGUUCAGCUCGUGUCGUGAGAUGUUGGGUUAAGUCCCGAACGAGCGCAACCCUUGAUCUUAGUUGCCAUCAUUUAGUUGGGCUACUCUAAGGUGACUUGCCGGUGACAAACCGGAGGAAGGUGGGGAUGGACGUCAAAUCAUCAUGCCCUUAGUACCUGGGCUACCACGUGCUACAAUGGACGUACAAAGGUUCCGAACCCGGAGGGGCACGUAUCCGAUAAACCGUCUAGUUCGAUUGUAGCUGCAACUCGCUA